rnacentral:rRNA from 1 species
UACGUAGGGGGCAAGCGUUGUCCGGAGUUACUGGGCGUAAAGCGCACGCAGGCGGUCUUUUAAGUUUGGCGUGACAGUUGGUGGCUUAACUGCCAAAGUGCUUCGAAAACUCACAGACUUGAGGGCUUCAGAGGGACACGGAAUUCCGGGUGGAGUGGUGAAAUGCGUAGAGAUCCGGAGGAACACCAAUAGCGAAGGCAGCUCGCUGGGACGUUACUGACACUGAGGCGCGAAAGCGUGGGGAGCGAACAGG